CACCGUAGUAGAAGCCGGAAGUCCCUGCUAAGCUAACAUCAACAAAAACAAUAAACCAGCGCCAAAGUGUAAAAAAAAUGAGUGUUACUGAGUUGGGAAAUGACGGAGAGCAGCCGAAGCUUACAAGUAACGAAUCCCGCUGCAUAUUCUUUAACACAGACUCAGAGGACUACCAUUGUGUGGUGAUCUUAGCAGUCAGACGAGCAACGGGAACCUUUUCUUUGAUAGGAUGCUUGUUCAUGCUGUUUGUGAUCUGGCUGCUGCGGAGGUAUCACUCUUUGGCCCAGAAGAUGAUACUCAGUUUGACUGUGGCUGCCCUCUUUGACAGUGUAGCAUAUGUCAUGGGGGAAUCUCAUCCACAGGGAUCUCUGUGUAGCUUUCAAGCCUGGUGGCUGACAUACUUUGACUGGAGUGCCUUGGUUUGGGUUUGCCUGAUCACACUGAACCUGUACCUGAACCUGGUUAGAGAGAUAAGCACCAUUAGAUAUGAGAUGUUGUACCAUCUGAUGGCGUGGGGUGUGCCUUUGGUCAUGGCCUCUUUGCCGCUGCUCAAGGGUUAUUACGGCCCUGCAGGACCCUGGUGCUGGAUCACAGCCGAUCACGUAGCCUGGAGAUUUGGGAUAUGGUACGUGCCUCUUUUCAGCCUCAUUAUCCUGAUGAUGUGCUGCUAUGGCAGGAUCAUCUGUGUGGCCAAUCAGCGGAUACAGUCGUGGUUGGGAACCUUCAACCCCGAACGGGAGAGACGAAAGACGUGAACGAUGAGAUACGUCAUGUUCGCCCCCUGUCCAAGCAGAGCCUUCCCAACCCCCAGACCUAAAGUGGAAUUAACUAAAGCCGAAUAAACUGGUUGUCUAUGUAAACCUCA
rnacentral:lncRNA from 1 species